GAUGCAGGAAUAGCAAAUGGUGGACAAAAUGUGAAUUAAGUCGCCGCCAAAAAUCCUCGGUGAGGUGCGAGUGCAAACAAUCGUAUCGGUAGGGCAAGGAUUGGAAAAACUACCUUUGUGUUGCACUGAAAGACUUGACUUCUACUCGUGUCUCUUUAGAUUAGGAUAUAAAAAAUUGUCCCUACAUACUUACUUAUUAAACUGACGAAAAAGGCUGCCUUAUGUACCGUUUGAAACUGUUAUGACAUUAUAUAUCAAACUCACAGAGACUUUAUGAGAUCAAUUAAAUAGUAGAAUGAUCAAUUGUUCAAUAAAAUGUUUUAUUUUUCUAUUCAUCCAGUUAAGUGAUAAAAAUAGAUUAGUAUGAGUAAUUACGUGUAUACAUUUUAUACUUAUUAUGAAACUUAAAGUUUAUUCGUAUUUUACCUAGAAGCCUUCACAUUUUUUUGCCUUCUUAAUUAUAAAUAUACACUCAAUGACCAAACAGUAAACGUCUGCAAUAUAUCUAUAUGUGUUCAACAUGUAGGGGAAUAAACUUUGAAACUGUU